UAUUAUAAGACUGUGUCAAAAAACUUGCAAAAUACUUGUUAAAAAACUAGUUUGCUAUUUUCGGCAGAAAAAGAAGCUAGAGAGGCAGAAGAGACUAAAGCUGAACUGGGACUUGGUGGAGAAGAUGAUUUGAAAGCACUGAUUCGAAGCAGAAAUAAAGAUCAAAAAAGGAAAUGGAUGACUUUUUGGCCCAAUGGGAAGCAAAAUAUGGGAAAAAUGCUGCCAAGAAAUACGGGACUGCAGCCAAGAAAGGAAAGAAAUAAAGAACUGUGUAGGCUGAGAUACCAGGUAUCAUUUUGUAUGGGAUCAUGUGGAUUUGGGAGAAUUUCAGAGUUUUUCUGGGCUACUGUUUCAGAGUGUGUGCAUCAGUUUGCUGUGACUGGGAGGUAUGAUACAGAAUGCAUCAUGAACAAGA